GCAAACUUGGUCAUUUAGAGGAAGUAAAAGUCGUAACAAGGUUUCCGUAGGUGAACCUGCGGAAGGAUCAUUACCGAGUGAAAAGUCGUGAUAUUUCUCUAAAAAAGAAAGCGGCUAAUACACAUUUCCAAACACUUUUGUGAACAUUUCUUGUUGCUUUGGCUGGACAUCAGUAACAUGAGACAAUAAUACUCCAGUGCAAACUGGAAUGUCUUUUGUUUUUGACUUGGGAGAAGUUCUCUUGAAGAGUUUCCAGCCAGAGAUCUUUAUAAACACUUUUUUUCUUGCAUUUUAUAUUUUUAAUUAAAAAAAAUAAAAACUUUCAGCAACGGAUCUCUUGGCUCUCGCAUCGAUGAAGAACGCAGC
rnacentral:misc_RNA from 1 species